rnacentral:rRNA from 1 species
GAUGAACGCUGGCGGCGUGCCUAAUACAUGCAAGUCGAGCGAACAGACGAGGAGCUUGCUCCUCUGACGUUAGCGGCGGACGGGUGAGUAACACGUGGAUAACCUACCUAUAAGACUGGGAUAACUUCGGGAAACCGGAGCUAAUACCGGAUAAUAUAUUGAACCGCAUGGUUCAAUAGUGAAAGACGGUUUUGCUGUCACUUAUAGAUGGAUCCGCGCCGCAUUAGCUAGUUGGUAAGGUAACGGCUUACCAAGGCGACGAUGCGUAGCCGACCUGAGAGGGUGGUCGGCCACACUGGAACUGAGACACGGUCCAGAAUCCUACGGGAGGCAGCCGUAGGGAAUCUUCCGCAAUGGGCGAAAGCCUGACGGAGCAACGCCGCGUGAGUGAUGAAGGUCUUCGGAUCGUAAAACUCUGUUAUUAGGGAAGAACAAAUGUGUAAGUAACUAUGCACGUCUUGACGGUACCUAAUCAGAAAGCCACGGCUAACUACGUG